CACACCGCCCGUCACAUCACGAAAGUCCGUUGCUCUUGAAGUCGCCGAGCUAACCGCAAGGGAGCAGGCGCCGACGGAGUGGCGGGCGAUUGGGGUG
rnacentral:rRNA from 1 species